GUAGGGGGGGCAAGCGUUGUCCGGAAUUAUUGGGCGUAGAGCGCGCGCAGGCGGCUAUUUAAGUCUGGGUGGUUUAAACCUUGGGGCUCAACCUGAGGUCGCACUGGAAACUGGGUGGCUUGAGUACAGAAGAGGAAAGUGGAAUUCCACGUGUAGCGGUGAAAUGCGUAGAGAUGUGGAGGAACACCAGUGGCGAAGGCGACUUUCUGGGCUGUAACUGACGCUGAGGCGCGAAAGCGUGGGGAGCAAACAGGAUUAGAUACCCUGGUAGUCCACGCCGUAAACGAUGAGUGCUAGGUGUUAGGGGUUUCGAUACCCUUGGUGCCGAAGUUAACACAGUAAGCACUCCGCCUGGGGAGUACGGUCGCAAGACUG
rnacentral:rRNA from 1 species